AGGCGAUCUCCCGGAGCUUUGGAUGGAUCAAAGCGGCUAAGGAGGGAGGCGAUCUCCCGGAGCUUUGGAUGGAUCAAAGCGGCUAAGGAUGGAGGCGAUCUCCCGGAGCUCUGGAUGGAUCAAAGCGGCUAACCAGAAACUCAAGCAGGACCUCCAUCCAGGCGUCACCAUCCAGGGGUGACCAUCCAUCCAGGGGUCAGCAUCCAUCCAAGGGGCCGCAUCCAUCCAG